rnacentral:rRNA from 1 species
UACGGAGGGGGCGAGCGUUAUUCGGAAUUAUUGGGCGUAAAGGGCGCGUAGGCGGCUUGAUGGGUCAAAGGGGAAAUCCCUCGGCUCAACUGAGGAACUGCCUUUGAAACUGUCUGGCUUGAGGCCGGGAGAGGGUAGCGGAAUUCCCAGUGUAGCGGUGAAAUGCGUAGAUACUGGGAGGAACACCGGUGGCGAAGGCGGCUACCUGGACCGGAACUGACGCUGAGGCGCGAAAGCGUGGGUAGCAAACAGG